GGGCAUGAAUGGAGCUUGCUCGGUAGAAAGGAGAGUAACCUUUUCGGGGAGUAGAGAUCGAGCAAUGAGAGUAGACGAUUUUGAACGUAGAAUGCAUGUGAAAAGCAGAAUCCUCAUAAUCCUAUGAUACGAGACUAGUAUGGUACACAAGAAUUGGUGGACUCGGAUAGGUUCCUCUUCUUUAUAAGUCACUCGGAGAUAGAUCAAUUAGUUGACCAAAUACGGACUCUCAGGACUAGCAUAGCUUCCCCUUCUAUGACUAGGGAAGACCCUAUUCUUCUCUUCCUCGGGGGCUAGGAGCUCAAUAAGUGGCUUUCUUAUGGGCCCAUUCCUAGCUGUUGGAUCAGACUGUGCAGAAUGAGUCUGCGUGGUCUUCCUUGCCUUGUACUGGCAGU
rnacentral:sRNA from 1 species